UACGAAGGGGGCUAGCGUUGUUCGGAAUUACUGGGCGUAAAGCGCGUGUAGGCGGGUCUUUAAGUCAGGGGUGAAAUGCCAAGGCUCAACCUUGGAACUGCCUUUGAUACUGGAGACCUUGAGUCCGGGAGAGGUGAGUGGAAUUGCGAGUGUAGAGGUGAAAUUCGUAGAUAUUCGCAAGAACACCAGUGGCGAAGGCGGCUUACUGGCCCGGAACUGACGCUGAGACGCGAAAGCGUGGGGAGCAAACAGG
rnacentral:rRNA from 1 species